rnacentral:rRNA from 1 species
CAGUAGCCGCGGGAAUACGGAGGGGGCUAGCGUUGUUCGGAAUUACUGGGCGUAAAGCGCACGUAGGCGGCUUGGUAAGUUAGAGGUGAAAGCCUGGAGCUCAACUCCAGAAUUGCCUUUAAGACUGCCGAGCUAGCAGGUGAGAGAGGUAAGUGGAAUUCCGAGUGUAGAGGUGAAAUUCGUAGAUAUUCGGAAGAACACCAGUGGCGAAGGCGGCUUACUGGCUCAUACUGGACGCUGAGGUGCGAAAGCGUGGGGAGCAAACAGGAUUAGAUACCCCAGUAGUCCCUGUCUCUUAUAC